rnacentral:rRNA from 1 species
GUCGAACGUUAGGGAAUAGCAAUAUUUCCGAAAGUGGCGAACGGGUGAGUAACACGUAGGUAACCUGCCGCGCAGAGGGGGAUAACGACUAGAGAUGGUCGCUAACACCGCAUGGUACUAGUAAGACGGGAGUCUAACUGGUUAAAACCUUGGUGCUGCGCGAGGGGCCUGCGUCCGAUUAGUUAGUUGGUGAGGUAAUGGCUCACCAAGACGAUGAUCGGUAGCUGGUCUGAGAGGAUGAUCAGUCACACGGGAACUGAGACACGGUCCCGACUCCUACGGGGGGCAGCAGUGAGGAAUAUUGCACAAUGGACGAAAGUCUGAUGCAGCAACGCCGCGUGGAGGAUGAAGGCCUUCGGGUCGUAAACUCCUUUUUUCAGGGAAGAGUGAGGACGGUACCUGAAGAAUAAGUCACGGCUAACUACGUGCCAGCAGCCGCGGUAAUACGUAGGUGGCAAGCGUUAUCCGGAAUUACUGGGCGUAAAGCGCACGCAGGCGGUCUCUUAAGUUUGACGUGAAAGCUCCCGGCUUAACUGGGAGAGGUCGUUGAAUACUGGGAGACUUGAGGAAAUGAGAGGGGUGUAGAAUUCCCGGUGUAGUGGUGGAAUGCGUAGAUAUC